rnacentral:rRNA from 1 species
ACUGUGAAACUGCGAAUGGCUCAUUAAAUCAGUUAUGGUUUCUUUGAUGGUACCUUGCUACUUGGAUACCCGUAGUAAUUCUAGAGCUAAUACAUGCAGGACUGCCCGACUUCGGAAGGGCUGUAUUUAUUAGAUAAGAAACCAUCUCGGGUCCGCCCGGUUGUGUGCUGAGUCAUAAUAACUGCUCGAAUCGCACGGCUCUACGCCGGCGAUGGUUCAUUCAAAUUUCUGCCCUAUCAGCUUUCGAUGGUAGGAUAGAGGCCUACCAUGGCGUUAACGGGUAACGGAGAAUUAGGGUUCGAUUCCGGAGAGGGAGCCUGAGAAAUGGCUACCACAUCCAAGGAAGGCAGCAGGCGCGUAAAUUGCCCGAAUCCUGACACAGGGAGGUAGUGACAAGAAAUAACAAUACAGGGCUAUUUUAGUCUUGUAAUUGGAAUGAGUACAAUUUACAUCUCUUCACGAGGAUCAAUUGGAGGGCAAGUCUGGUGCCAGCAGCCGCGGUAAUUCCAGCUCCAAUAGCGUAUAUUAAAGUUAUUGCAGUUAAAACGCUCGUAGUCGGAUUUCGGGGCGGGCCGACCGGUCUGCCGAUGGGUAUGCACUGGCCGGCGCGUCCUUCCACCCGGAGACCGCGCCUACUCUUAACUGAGCGGGCGCGGGAGACGGGUCUUUUACUUUGAAAAAAUCAGAGUGUUUCAAGCAGGCAGUCGCUCUUGCAUGGAUUAGCAUGGGAUAAUGAAAUAGGACUCUGGUGCUAUUUUGUUGGUUUCGANCACCGGA